GCCCAUCAUUAAAAGCAAUAUAAACAUUCCUCAGUGACUUCAAGAGGCACCUGACAGUCAGAAGUGAGACUGCCUUUGUUAAAGCUAUUUUAUUAGGAUGUGCUGACCAGCGUCCCAAAAGUAGAAAACUUUACUGCAUGUAUUUCCUCGCCCUUUCCAAAUACACAUACAAUUUAACUUUUUAUUCAAGUCAUAUAUCUUUCCCCCUUUCCACCUUCAACUUGAAAGCUGACGGGGUUUUCUGCUGAGUAAUUUAACAGAUGAGCCUGCGGAGUUAUAAACCUUUUCAGCCCGCCGCCCUCCAUAAUACUGAACUUCAUGCAUCCCAUUCAGAAGGCCUGCUUCAUGAAGAUGCAAUUGCUCUGAAGCCUCUAGUCUUCUUCCCAUUAGGACUUCUGCUGUUCCAUAUUCUGCAGAGGCCUUUGAUAUGGUAAUGAGGCUGGGGUGAGGGAUCUCCUGCCUUAAAAAAAAAAGUGGUAAAAUUCAUAUUUUAACUCUAAAGGCAGAUGGACAUGUUCCAAAACAGUGUCUGUGGGAAAUGAACAUUUGUGGCAGAAAAGUGGAAAUUUGUGGAGUUUAGAUGAUGAAUUGCACAAUGAGUUGAUUUCAGCAAUGUGCUCAUUUCAGAAUACGGUACAGUCUUGUCAUGAACUACUGCCGGGAUCUUCUUCCAGGAGAAAAGGUUCCUCCUUGCAGAUGUGAAGUAUUUAUUUAUUCCUACACACACAAACAAGGGAUGCGGGUGGCGCUGUGGGUUAAACCACUGAGCCUAGGACUUGCCGAUCAGAAGGUCGGCGGUUCGAAUCCCCGCGAUGGGGUGAGCUCCCGUUGCUCGGUCCCUGCUCCUGCCAACCUAGCAGUUCGAAAGCACGUCAAAGUGCAAGUAGAUAAAUAGGUACCGCUCUGGUGGGAGGGUAAACGGUGUUUCCGUGCACUGCUCUGGGUUGCCAGAAGUGGCUUAGUCAUGCUGGCCACAUGACCCGGAACUCAGCCAAUAAAGCGAGAUGAGUGCGCAACCCCAGAGUCGGCCAUGACUGGACCUAACGGUCAGGGGUCCCUUUACCUUUACCUUACACACACAAACACACACGUAUCUUUUAUUCACUUAUAUUUUUCAAUAACAGCAUAAGUCUCAGGGCCUACAUAUUUAUUUAUUUGUUUGUUUGUUUGUUUCCCACCCAAUCUGCUACCUCUUCAUCAGUAGUUGAUUUUGCUUUCAGCUGUGACAUUUGCUCAAAAUCCCUGAUCAGAUGAUGGCAGUGGAACAGAGCACAUUUGCUAAUGAAGUGUUUUAUUCAGAGAUGGCGUCCUGGAAAAGCGAAAUCCUCUGGGGAUGGGUAUUUCAUUGGCUCAGAUGCAUUUUCCUACCCAUGAAAGUGUGAGAGACCACGAUCUGUGAGUGAGCUGAAUUUGAAAGUGGAUGGCUUUAAUUUGCCAUGGCUAUUAUGCAAAAUCUCAGCAGGAACAUAUUCAAAGCAUGGAAGUUCCCCAAAGGGGAAAAUGAUCAGUGGUUAUAAUCGACCACCACACACCAGGAAUCACUGCAAUAUUCAUAAGAGCAGCGCCCUUCCAUGAUAGCUGCAUUUUAGGAUUUCUUGCUUGUAAUAACUUAGCAUCGCAAAACACCAUUUGUGCAACUUUUUCUAAUCAGGUCCCAGCCUUGCAAAGCAGCACAGGGCUGGUUUGGGGAGGGCAGCAUAAACGACCCCCCUCCAAAUGUGCCUGGGGCAAUCAUCCCAGCAGCGCCCCCCACCCCGGCUACACCUCUGGAAAUACCUCAUUUUGAUGUGUUUCCUCCAGAACAAGCUUUGAUCCAAAUUGAGAAAAUUCUAAUAGUGUUUUAAGGCAGCAAUGUCUACACAGUCUAUUAUCUUAAGCACUCCACCCCCCCCCCCAUUUCUACCUAUAGAUCUUGAAACAGGGAAAGUUCCAUUGAUUCAAAUGGGCUUUUGCUUAGGUACUGAUAGGGCUGCAAGAAUCACAGUAUCUGCUUCCGUGCAAUUAUUCCAUCCACUCUCCCCCACCACUGCUAAAAAAGAAAAAAAAAAGGAAAAGCAUAUUAUCGCAUUAUUUUGUUGAAAUACCAAAUUUAUAUUUAGAGCCACAAUGAGCAGAUGGAAGCAAUUUUAACUAACAAUUGUACAUCUUUGAUGUGUGCUACAACAAAUCCCGCAAACGCUACAAAUUAGUUUCUUCCUCUCUGCUUCCCUCCCACCUCAUCCCGAUCUAACUGUGUAAUUUAUGAUGUUCUAAACUAAAGGGCAGGUGUCUUGGCUGGGACUGAGCCAUCCAAUUCUCUAGCAAUGCUGAUCUGUAAAUGUGGGAGGUGGAACAAUUGGGGCAUUGCUAAGUUCACAGCUGAUCAUUAGUUCAAGUCUCUAAAGGGCAGCUUCCACACCAGACCCAUCUAUAUAAGGAAACUGAGGUGCUCUUGUUAGAUCUUGGGAGGCUUAUAUUUUUAAAGUUCGAACUAUAAGAGCAGGGUAGGAUUGUUUUUUGACAGCAGCUCAGUGGUAAAGCCUACGCUUUCCUUGUGGUAUGACCCAAGUUCGGUCUUUGGCAUCUCUAGUUCAAUCAGGGAUAGAGAACCUGCAGCUUUCCAGAUGUUGGACUCUCAACAUCUGCAGGGCCACAGCUUCCCCAUCCCUGAGUUAAGAGAAAUAGGUGACUGGUGAUGUGAAGGAACUUCUGCCUGGGAUGCUGGAGAACUGCUGCCAAUCAGGAUAGACAACUGUUGAAAGUAUUCUACUGGUGCAAUGCCAGUUGCUGUCAAGCUUGGAGAGUCCUCCCCUCACUUCAGUAACUUCACAGAUAAGAAUUAAUGAGCCGUUGAUAGAUUGAUAGUCCUUUUUAUUACAGCUUCAUGUUGUGAGCACAAAUACACAGCUCUCUGCAAGAAGGGCAGUUGCCUACUCUAAAUCCUCCUUCCAACUUCCUUCUGCAGCAAGACAGGCGCCAAUGGGAAGUUCCUCCCUCCCUAUGCCUCCUUUGUUCUCUGAUAUGUUCAGACCUCCGAGUCCAUGGUGAGGAAGGGGGUCCCCCACACUCUCGACUGACAUCUCUCCUGGCUGUCCCCUCCCUUCUGGUUCCCUUGUCACUAUCUCGUAGCUGGGUAACUCCUUUCUAAGCUGUUCAGGUUCUGUGUCUGUGUCUGGCUCUCUCUCUGCUUCUGAAAACACUGGAGGUGGCAGGAGGGGGGAAUAUUCCCCCUCCUCUUCUGAGAGAAGCUGAUCUGCCAGCGACUGCAUUCCCCAAUCUUCAUAUCCAGACUAUUCCCUGACAGUUGCUGAAAUAUACUCAGAGUCGCAAAGUGAUUUCAUGCUCUUUAUUCAGCUCAUAGUGGUGAGGAGGAAUGAAUGAAUGUCCCCUCAAAGUAUCUGCUUUAUAUACAUUAUUUACACAAUGGGCUGCACAUGACUGGCUAAUUCCGGAAUUCUACUGUAAGCCAAUCAGGUUGUGGAUUCGCUUCUAUCUGGAGAAUGAUUGGGUGGUUCCUGCCAACCAAUCAGACUGCUGCAUUCUGAAUCCUAUUGUUCUAGGACCAAUCAGACUGCUGCAGUUGGAUCCUAUUCAACUCAGUACAUAACAGUUGCUAUAUUAAGAACAUAAGAAGAACUACCAGGUGGACCAGGCCAAUGGCCCAUCUGGUCCAGCACCCUGUCCUCACAGUGGCCAAACAGAUGCCCAUGGGAAGCCUGUAAACAUAACUUGAGCAUAACAGAAGUCGCCACUGCGAGUCCCAGAAACUGGGAUUCAGAUGCCAACUGUGUCCAGCAAUGAAGGCAGCACAUUUUGUUAUAAUUCUGUCUAAUAAAACUACCUCUAAUUAUUGAGACAGGGUCCUCUCUGUGGCAGUUCCCCACCUUUGGAAUGCCCUCCAUGAUGGGCAUGGAGUUUGCGUCUUGUCUCUCUCAUUAUUGCCUUUCAGGAGAAAUUUAAAAACAUUCCUGCUUACUCAGGUAUUUGAUGGCUGAAAUAUAACCAGCAACAUUGGAAUUAUCAACUGUGAGGCUAUGUGAUUGCUUUAAAAAGUUUUCAAAUGUUCCAAAAUUUUUGAAAUGCUUUUAGAUGGGGUUUUAAAAAUGGUUUUAAAUAUGUUUUUAGCUCAGUGGGAUGAGCAUGAGACUCUUAAUCUCUGGGUCAUGGGUUCAAGCCCCAUGUUGGGCAAAAAGAUUCCUGCACUGCAGGGGGUUGGACUAGAUGACCUUCGUAGACCUAUUCCAACUCUACAAUUCUAUGAUUUUGUUUUAACUUCAUGGUGUGUUUGCUAUCCUGAGCUCUGUUGGGAUAGAAAUUGUAAGUAAUAAUAACGUCCUCAAGAUGCUUCACAUACUUUAUUGCAGAAAUCCUUCAACAGUGCUUUAAAAUAAGCCAUGUGAAGCAAUCUUAUACUGAGUUAGACCAUAGGUCUGCACAGCUCAUAAUGGACUACUGCUUUUGGAAGCAGCUUUGUAGUGUGUCAGGGAUGUGUUUUUCCCAGUCAUGCUGCACAAUAUUUUAAUUAUUGGUGAUGCUCAACACUUAAUAAACCUGGGGUUUCUGUUUGCAAAGCAGGUAUUCAACCACUGCACAAUGGCAGAAUGAUUUAGGCACACUCAUAUUUCUCUUUUCCAAAAAUUGUAACUGCAUGAUACACAAUGUGCCGUUGUUGUGAUUGCAGGAAACAAAAGAAAUAUGUAUUCCAUCAAAUUACUUCAAAGAAAAACUUCAGUGCAUGAUGUUGUGCCAGUCGAGUGUUAUGCUAAGUUGCCUUCUGACAUUUUAAAGGCCAUUAUUUGAAGGCCCUUUCUUAAUUUAAUGAAUCAGAAGGAUAUCUAGUUCUUUACAGGUCUCAGCUGGAAAAGACUCCUUAAAGAGCUUUAAUUACCUGGCACAAAAGCUAAGACACAAUCUGGGACCACUUGCUGGCUUCUAUUGUUAGUUUCUGGUUUGGAAGAAUUCUCCCUUCAGCAGUAACAGUUUCUUGUUUGGAAAAAAAUUCUUUCAUGAGACAGCUAAGUGGUGGGUUCAUUAGAAAGAUCAAGCAUGAUGUCACUAGCAUUCAUGAAGGUCUUUCAAAUACUAAAAUUAUUCUGAUUGUUGUUUUCCAUACGGAUCUGAAUAAAACAUGGCACAACCAGGAUAGAUUAUGAUCACUGGGUGAAAAUAAAAAUCCAGAAUGGCAAAUGAUACUGUUUUGAUAUGUAAUCAGGGGGCAUAGUUGUGUUUUACACAUAUUGCAGUGAUUUUUUAAGCAGGAAGAGCAAAUGCAAUUCAGCUGUCUGGGGUAACAGCACAGUGGGAGCACUUGGGAGCCAAAUGCAGUAGCAGAAAUUAGAUUCCUUCUGCAAGAUACUGAGGUUUUAGAUUUGAUAUGCUUAGCAGUCCUGAAAUAAGAGGCGAGGUCCUGGUUAACUGGUGAACCUCAGUAACUGGUUAAAUAUCAGAAAGCAGGACUAAAUGGACUGUUCUUUCAAUGGAGGGAUGUGGAAGGUAGAAUUCCCUGAGAAUUGGCACUGGAAAGCUGUAGGAAAAUAUUGUUAAAAUAGAAUAACUAUAGAAUCAUAGAAUUGUAGAUUUGGAAGGGAGCCUAAAGGUCAUCCAGGCUAACCCUCUGUAAUGCAAGAAUCACAGCUAAAGAAUCCCUGGCAGAUGGCCAUCCAACUUCUGCUUUAAAACCACCAAUGAAAGAGUCCACCACCUUCUGAGAUAGUCCGUUCCAUGGCUGAACAGCUGUCAGAAAGUUAUUCCUGCAUACAGAAGCAGGUAGAACAAUUAUUCCGGAAGUGGGACCAUCAUGACUUCUGCAAGAGUACUGUAAGUCCUGUCUCACUAACCUAUUAGAAUUGUUUGAGAGUGUCAACAAGCAUAGAAGUGAUCUGAUUGACACAGUGCAUUUUCAAAAAGCUUUUGACAACAUACCUCUCCAAAGAUUCCUGAGUAAGCAUAGCAGGCAUGAAAGAAGAAGUGAAGUCCUUGUGUGGAUCAGGAACUGGCUACGUGACAGGAAGCAGAGAGUAGGAAUAAGUGGGCUGUUUUCCGGAUGGAGAGAUGUAGAAAGUGGAAUCCCUCACGGAUCAGUAUUGGGACAUGUGCUUUUUAACUAGUUCAUUAACUGUCUAGACUUAAUAACAAUGAUGAAAGGUUUUUUUAAAAAAGAUUGAAAGAUGUUCCAGUAGCACCUUGAAGACCAACUAAGUAUAAGCUUUCUAGGUAUGAGCUUUCGGGUGUAUACACACUUCUUCAGAUACUCUAGACUUAGUGAGCAGUAAAGGAGCCAUGUUUGCUGAUGAUAUGAAGUUGUUCAGGGUCUUUAAAACAAAAAAGGACCUCUCCGGACUGAGUGAAUGGGCAGUAAAAUGGCAAAUGCAAUUCAACAUAAACAAGCAUAAAGUGAUGAACAUUAGGCAAAAGAUUGCAAUUUGACAUAUGCUACCCAAGGUGAUGGGUAGCCCUGCUCAUCUGCAAAAUGGCCCAUAGGGGCUGGGGGGAGGGAGGGAUACAACCCACUAUUCAGAUCGAAUUUCCUACCCCAGCAUAAUCAGCUUCAUGUGAUAACUUCACAUAAUAAAGCAAAACGUUAUAUUUGGCUCUGCAUAUAUCUUGUGUAGCCUUAUUGGAGUUCACCGAUUGGGUCUGCGUGGCUCCCGGACAGGAGGAAGGAAGUCAAAUGACACCGAGGUUGGUUCAAAGAAAGAGUUUAUUCUGCUCUUCGGAUAGCAGAAGGCACUUGCGUGGUCAGUCCGCAGCAAGUCCAAAGAAAUGAGAAAUUUCAUGCAGUAUAUAUAUCCUCCAGGCACCCUUUCCCUCCUUCCCCAGGAAUCCAGCCACGUCAGCUUGUACACACAGGUUGACAUCACAUAUGUUCCUGCUCCGGCACUCUUAACCAUAAAAGGGUAUUCCUUCCUAUACUUCUGACCAUAAAAGGAUCUUCCUGUUCCUACUCUUAUCUUGGAGCAAGAGGUCACCAUCUCCAAGAACACACUCUGGCGCUGUUCCCAGACUGGGUCUGCGCGUCUUUGUGGUCAGGACGUAAGAUAAGGCACAGACGUGUCUUCUCUGUUCUACUGGUACAGUGAAGGCCAUACUUGCUGUCACAAACUGAUAAAGGAGAGGGCUCUGAGCACAGCUUUAUACAGCUGGGUUUCGGCUCAAGAGCUCAAGUUAAAGCAUUUUAGCUAAGGAAAAAUAGGGAUUUUGGUGCAGUUUCAAACUGCCUGCACAGUCAGUUUUGGGGUUUGGGAAACCCAUUCCUUCACUUGCUUGUAAGCUAAACAAAGGUUUGUAUUAGAUUUGUGGCUCUUAUUUACCUCUAGAAGCAGUAGAAUUAAGAGCCUUUCGAAAUCCUUUGUGAAAUGUAAUUUUAACAGCCCAAUCCUGUGCAACGUUAGGCACUGAUAAGUGGGUUUAUUAGGUGUGCCUUGACUCUGCAAUGGAUUGUGAUGUAGAACUGUUCUAAAUGCUCCUCACAUUGUAUAUGAUCACAUCUUCACAUAUCUUGCAAAGCAGCAUUUUAAAAUCCCAUAUUGUCAUCUUUGGUGGGUUUUUUUUUUUAGCCUUUUAUAAUAGUACAACAAUUGUAAGGUAAUUUGCAUUUAGAUGGUUUUUUUCUGUAAGGUUAGCAUGCCAUUAGAUGCACACAUUUCUUAGUCUUGCUUUACAAUGACGUUUUUAAAGCUACAUCUGAUAGAACACCCACCCACUCACCCCCAAUUCCUUUGUGUAUUUUUUAAAAAAUAUAUAAUAAGAUAAAAAGCACAAAAGUCCAUUUACAGAUAAUUUUUAAAUAAUAAAUUAUGGCUAGGGAAUUUGCCACUUAUGAAUAUGCUCUAUACUCAGACAGGCAAAUUGGCUCCUCUUGCUGGGUAUUGUCAGUCUACAAUGACUUGAAGUUUCUCUCCCUGAUUUCAAGUAGAGAUCUUUAACUUAGAGAUGCUGAGGGUGAACCUAAGUUAUUCUAUCCACAAAGCUCUACUAUUGUUCUAAUACAGGCACCCCCAAACUCGGCCCUCCAGAUGUUUUAGGACUACAAUUCCCAUCAUCCCUGACCACUGGUCCUGUUAGCUAGGGAUGAUGGGAGUUGAAGUCCCAAAACAUCUGGAGGGCCGAGUUUGGCGAUGCCUGUGCUAAGACAUCUCUCUACUUGACUAGCUCAUACGAUAAAAUAAGUUUGUUUGUUUCUUAAAACUGUGGCCAGAUUUCAGUAGAAUAACUCUCAGUACCAGGAAAGCUUUAUCCCAGCUUUGGCAGUUACGUCAACUGCACCCCUAUCUGGAGAGGGCUGACCUUGCCACAGUGGCCGAUGCUCCCAUCAUGUGCAGACUACACCACUGCAACACAGUCUCUUUGGGGUUGCCUUGAAAGAAGAUCUAGAAAGGUUAGCUGGUUCACAAUACGGUUCAGAAUAUAAAUCCUGUUGGAUUUAUAUACCAGCUGCACUACUUACCAGUGCCUUUCUAGGCCCAACUAGUUUUGACCCUUAAAACUGGGGUGGAGAACCUCUCGCCCACUUUAAGAUGCAUAAGCCGUAAAGCAAAUCAUGAGCUCUCUAAACAAAAUAAUGCAUCUAGUGUUUGCUGUUAGACAAGAUGACACGUGAUCGUUUCCAAGUAGUGUACUGACUGAGGUGUGAUCCACUCAAUUUUAUAUUCAUUGUUUGAUAAAGCUGUUAUAUAAUAGAAUUAUGUAACUAUAUCUCUAUACACUCACACACAUAUAGCAUGCCUAUUCUCUUCUGUGGUGUGAUGCAACAAGAUACAUAUUCUGCCCAGGAGUGAACCCACAGUUUAGGAAACAUUAUGACACCAACCUGCUGCUCUAUAUUGUUACAAAGAUGAGCGCUGCACCCCAUAGUUGCCUUUGACUGGACUAAACCAUCUAAGGGUCCUUUAACCUUUACAAAGUUUGGAUGCCACCCCCAACCUCUGCUGAACUGUGUCAAGAUUUCAGGAGGUUUCAGAACUUCUUAUGCUUUUUUUCAGACUUUUGUGCAUUCUCCACUGCAGUCAGCUUGGACAGACUCCUCUAGUCCCAUUUUCACUUUCUCUUCUCAUGAUGGGUAAACUUUGCAUCUGUUUAAGAAACCAUAUGUUCUGUGAGUCCUGGAAGACUGCUCCCUGCCUUGCAGGCCUUUUCCCACCAGGCUUCCCACCAAGUCCCUGACGGACUCCAGCUACAAAACCUAAAGCUGCUGAAUGGGCUCUUGGGCUGGGGCGUUUUUUGGGUUGUGUUUUCUUUUGGUUGUUGUUUUUUGUGCAGGUGUUGCUGUUGUUGCAAUUAAUGUUUAGUAUCUUUAUUCUGGAUUUUACCAUUUAUGUGGAAAUUGUUCAAUCUGGUCAUGCACUUUCAUGUUUUGUUUAUGACUUCUUUUGUUAUAUUUGCAGUUAUGUAAUUUUUUUAUGUUGUAAGCCGCCUUGAGAACGGUUUGAACUAUGGAAAGACGGUAUACAAAUAAAAUGAUUGAUUGAUUAGAACUGUUACAUUGUAACCGGGAAGAAAAACACACUGAAGCUGGUGGAACUUACUUCCGACUAAGCGAUUCCCCCCCACCCGCUAUUAGAAGCCCAUUCGCCUCCCAGCCGCCCAUCAAACAGGCUGCCAACACGACGGCGCGUGCGCGCGACGAAUCUUCCCGCUACUCCAAUAUCAUAAAGGAGAUCGCUUACCCUAGCGGCCUUUUCUGAACACGCG